CCUACGGGCGUCUGCAGUGAGGAAUAUUGGUCAAUGGACGAGAGUCUGAACCAGCCAAGUAGCGUGAAGGAUGACUGCCCUAUGGGUUGUAAACUUCUUUUAUAUGGGAAUAAAAUGUUCCACGUGUGGGAUUUUGUAUGUACCAUAUGAAUAAGGAUCGCCUAACUCCGUGCCAGCAGCCGCGGUAAUACGGAGGAUCCGAGCGUUAUCUGGAUUUCUGGGGUUUAAAGGGAGCGUAGGUGGAUUGUUAAGUCAGUUGUGAAAGUUUGCGGCUCAACCGUAAAAUUGCAGUUGAAACUGGCAGUCUUGAGUACAGUAGAGGUGGGCGGAAUUCGUGGUGUAGCGGUGAAAUGCUUAGAUAUCACGAAGAACUCCGAUUGCGAAGGCAGUUCACUGGACUGCAACUGACACUGAGGCUCGAAAGUGUGGGUAUCAAACAGGAUUACAUACCCUUGUAGUC
rnacentral:rRNA from 1 species